rnacentral:misc_RNA from 1 species
GAUGAAGAACGUAGCGAAAUGCGAUACGUAGUGUGAAUUGCAGAAUUCAGUGAAUCAUCGAAUCUUUGAACGCACAUUGCACCUCUCGGUAUUCCGGGAGGUAUGCCUGUUCGAGCGUCAUUUGUACCCUCAAGCUCUGCUUGGUGUUGGGUGUUUGUUCCGCCUCUGUGUGUGAACUCGCCUCAAAACAAUUGGCAGCCGGCGUACUUGUUUCGGAGCGCAGCACAUUUUGCGAUCCAGAUCAACGUACAGCGGCAUCCAAGAAGCCUUAUUUAACGCUCUUGACCUCGGAUCAGGUAGGGAUACCCGCUGAACUUAAGCAUAUCAAUAAGCGAAGGA